GUGAAACAAUCAAUCCACUCUCAUUAUAACUUCCACAACAGAAAAUUUUAUGUUAUUUGCCUACUACCAAUGCAGUUUAACUGAUUUUACAUUGACUGAACAAGGUUGAUUUUAUUUAGGUCUAGUGAAAAUACUGAAGAAGUAUGACAAGAGAACAGGAGCACUUAUCAGGCAGCCCUUCAUCGAAAAGGUGCUGUAGCAGCCAUUCUUUACAACUGAUCUCCUAUACAAACUCGUGAAGGAGUGUGUGGCUAUGCUCGACCACCUCUUCCCCAGCAACAACCUAUCAAUUUCAGCAGAAUGCGACGGACAAAAUGGAGUGCCAAAGCCGGCACAAUCAGGUGGGAGGGUUUCGGAGUUGGAGGAGAUUAAAUAUAUGCAGAGCUUAUACAUGAAGAGCACCGUAGCAGAGCUGCAGUCCUUGAAACAGAUUAGGAGCAAAAGUUCAACAGUCAAAACAGAUUAGAAAAUCUCGUGUUAUAUUGUUCUACCUUUGUUUUAAUAGUGUUAUCAUUUUGUUGGUUGUUUAUGAAA